UUUUUUUUUUUUUUUUGAACUUACAUGUAGUCUAACUGCAUCUACUUAACAAAAUGACCUUCUAAGAAUUUAUUAUUUUAGAAAAGGCAAGUGUUAUGGUCUAAUAGAUAACCUAGGAAAACUACAAAAAUGCAUUUCAACAGAUAGUGUUGCCUUAUGGCCCAUCAUAAGACGGAGGGGGAAAAAAAAUUGUUAUGAUCGCUUGCCCAGGAUCUGGUCCUGGGCCUCUUAAUAGUGAAAUCUAAUUCAAAAGCUAAAGCUUUUGCUUUACCUCAAUUCUUUCCUCGACCUAUUGUUGCUGAA
rnacentral:misc_RNA from 1 species